GGAGGGGAGAUCUUGGCCUUAAACCAAGGUUUUCUUUCUCUUCCUUUAUUCUCCCUUUCACUUUGUUCUUACUUUUAUUUAAUAAAGUCUCCCCUAGGAUAUCCUAGUGAGAGUUUUCUUCUCUUCCAAGCUACUCUGGCGAGAGUUUUCUCGUCUCCCAGGCUAUUCUGGUGAGAGUUUUGUUUAGUUUUUUUUUUGUUAUUUAUUUUCUCAGAUCUAUAUGUUAGAUCUAAAAUUUUUUGGAUCUUCUCAUCAGACCUGGGCAUCAAUUUUGAGUUUGAACCAAUUGGAUAGCAGAGCUGAGGGAUAAACAUACAUAGAUAUUUAUGGAGCGGUUUAUUCAAUUGGUCAGAUAUGAUGAUUUGUGAUUCACAGUGUAAUCUUUUAUAUUUUGUAACUCUGUUAAAUCUUAUGAUUUUUCAGAUCAAAUAUAUCUAUAACAUGUUCAAUGUAUUUUCUACC
rnacentral:lncRNA from 1 species